CCGCCCAGAGGUAAACGGGUGGAUCCGCAUAGUCGGUCCGCGGAAUUCAGCGCGGCGCGCGGUCCGGGGCUGCCGCUGUUCGGGAUCCUUCCGGAACCGACAGUGGUGCCGAGCCGGGCCCCGCCGCGUGCACUUUCCGCGGACGGAAAGCCACAACCGGUUUGGUGGGCGGUCACGAGCCGGAAGGGUUGUCGGUGGGGGCGCUCGCGUCCCCACCAGCCCUCUCCGGCGAGCCGCCCGCAGACCGAGGAACCGCCGCGCGCUUCUAGGCCACCCUCCCUUCGGGGUGAGUUCGACAGGGAGAGACUGGGCAACCGUGUCUCCCGACCGCUCACUCGUGACCGGCGUGGGGCUGGCCGGGCGAGCAGGAAUAUCUUGGGUUGGUGGCAAGUCUGUCGGCACUCCACCCGACCCGUCUUGAAACACGGACCAAGGAGUCUAACAUGCGCGCGAGUCAGUGGGAUUUACGAAACCCAAAGGCGCAAUGAAAGCGAGGGCCUGUAAAAGGGCCCAGGUGGGAUCCUGUCACUCUCUCGGCACCGAG
rnacentral:rRNA from 1 species